CGGAGGCGGGGCGUGCGCAGAAGGCGCUCUCCGCCCUCUCCCUCCCGGCGGCGUCUGCUCGCUGGUCGUCGCGGGCGCGGGGAGCUGGUCGGCCGCGAGGGGAGGCAGGCGGGGCGGAGGGACGCCCGCUUCUCGAUCUUUCUCCGCCGCAGCCGGGCGACGUGCUCCCGCGGGCCCCGGCUGGGCUCCUCGUGGACGUUCCCGCAGGAGGCGCGCGGGGGGCCUCAUCGGUCAGGGACGCCUUCCCUCUCCAUUAUUUGUAUUCGUAUCGACUGGUCUAAUGUCUCUCCAGACUACAAAUGCCUCAUCUGGAAGGCCGUGGUCAUCCCAGCCUGCAGCGCCAUACCUGGGAGAAGUCCGUGCCCAGUCACGAGUGGGACAAGUAACUCUCUUAAACGCGCAGCUGCUGUCACGGAAAAGCGAAGGAGUGUUGAUGGGCAGGAGGCGUAGAAACCAGGAGAAUGCUGACCCGGACCCCACCCUGCAUGAAUCAAGGAUAAAUUUUUUACCUGAAAUCGAGAGCGCCUGCUGCUGGCAGAGCCGAAUGCGUGGGAGAAAACCAGACUUCCUUAAAGGCGGUGCCCCUAAAGGGAGUUUCAUGGAGAUGGAAGCUGGGAGGACCGAGGGCACGGAGUUUGGGGAGAAGAGGCAGAGGAGGCAAAAGCAAGGGAGUACCCACAGAGGGGUUGCUGCUGGGCAGUCACUUCAGGGGAGGCAGGAGACUCCCCAGAGUUUCUGAGAAGGAAUCUGCAAACAUUUCUGUGAGACGGAUCUAGCUGGGACAGUGGAAGUCCAUAGGCGUGGUCUGGGAUGUUUUUCAGUCAUGCAAGUGAGUUCACAGUGUCUGUGCUGGGCAGGAUAGUGAUACUAAGACCACAGAGAUCCCAGACGGGGGCCAGUCAUCAUGAGGCUCAUGAACAAAUUCAGCUUCCUUUCCAGUCAUCCUUUACAUGUUCUAAAAUGUUCCAUGACACACACUCGAACAGACAUAAUUUACCUAUUUGAAAUGACCUUCGAGUCUGCCUUCAUGUUGUAAGUUACAACCUUGGGAAGUAAGCACAAUUUCCUCUAAAAAACUGUGGAGACUGAAUAGCAAAGAUUUAAAGAAACUCGUCCUUUAUAUCACAAGGGGCAGAACAUUUGUAAAUGAAAACUUACAGAAUCAUGCUCGAGCAUCAGACUAAGCACAGCCUGGUCAUUCUCAUUUUUUUGCGGUGAUGAAUCACGUGCCUCACGCUCUGAAUUCUUACAGGACUCGUGCCAACAACAUGUAUUUGCCUGAAGAUCUUUUUCUCAGUAAAUUGAGGGAUAACCCAAACUUUUUCACUUUAAUCCAGUCUGAAUUGAAAUGGUUUUAAGCUUAUUUUUAUUUUCACAUGUCUCCUCUGGUGCUACUUUUUCCUUUGUGCAUGCUAUCAGAUAUUAACACAGGCCUAUGAACGUGUGGUCUGCGGACUCAUUCAACAUCGUUAUCCUUCUGUAUUUCAGCAUUAAUAUGAUGUGUUGAUCUUUUACUGUCUAAUAUUCUUAGCUUAUUACCCCAAGCCCACAACUCAAAUUUCAUUUCUGGAUAAUUUGGCUAGGUUUUGUGUUUUGUCUUUUUUUUUUAAUUUGUUAACGUAGCUACUAAAGUUAACUGAGCUUUUACUGCUCUGAAAUUUACAAAAUGAUGAGAGCAUAGUCGUUGUUUACAGCUUGGAUAAAAAUGGAGAGCCAUUUGGAUUUUGUACCAUUUCUUCUGGCAAUUUUCUCAAAGGAGUCAGCUGUGUCAAUAGUGGCUAUAAUUGGGAUGCCUGGGUGGCUCAGUGGGUUAAAGCCUCUGCCUUCUGCUCAGGUCAUGAUUCCAGGGUCCUGGGAUCGAGCCACGCAUCAGGCUCUCUGCUCAGCGGGGAGCCUGCUUCCCCCACCCCUCUCUGCCUACUUGUGAUCUCUGUCUGUCAAAUAAAUAAAUAAAAUCUUUUUUUAAAAAAUCUUAAAAAAUAUUUUUUAAAAAUGGUAUCUGUAAUUAGUAACUGUUUCAGCAACUGUUAUUAGUAACUCUAUCUGUUUUCUGUUGUCAUAAUACUACUAAUAAAUACAUAACAAGUAUUGUA